rnacentral:rRNA from 1 species
CACGUAGGGGCAAGCGUUGGUCCGGAUUUAUUGGGCGUAAAGAGCUCGUAGGCGGUUCGAUAAGUCGGGUGUGAAACCUCCGAGGCUCAACCGUGGAGACGCCACCCGAUACUGUCGUGACUAGAGUCCAGUAGGGGAGCGUGGAAUUCCUGGUGUGAGCGGUGAAAUGCGCAGAUAUCAGGAGGAACACCAGCGGCGAAGCGGCGCUCUGGGCUGGCACUGACGCUGAGGAGCGAAGCGUGGUAGCGAACAGG